UACGUAGGGUGCGAGCGUUAAUCGGAAUUACUGGGCGUAAAGCGUGCGCAGGCGGUUCGCUGUGUCCGAUGUGAAAGCCCCGGGCUUAACCUGGGAAUGGCAUUGGAAACUGGCGGGCUUGAGUGCGGCAGAGGGGGGUGGAAUUUACGGUGUAGCAGUGAAAUGCGUAGAGAUCGUAAGGAAGACCAGUGGCGAAGGCGGGGUCUCUGGACAGUUCCUGACACUGAGGCACGAAGGCCAGGGGAGCAAACGGG
rnacentral:rRNA from 1 species